GACGAACGCUGGCGGCGUGCCUAAUACAUGCAAGUUGAGCGAUGAAGAUUGGUGCUUGCACCAAUUUGAAGAGCAGCGAACGGGUGAGUAACGCGUGGGGAAUCUGCCUUUGAGCGGGGGACAACAUUUGGAAACGAAUGCUAAUACCGCAUAACAACUUUAAACAUAAGUUUUAAGUUUGAAAGAUGCAAUUGCAUCACUCAAAGAUGAUCCCGCGUUGUAUUAGCUAGUUGGUGAGGUAAAGGCUCACCAAGGCGAUGAUACAUAGCCGACCUGAGAGGGUGAUCGGCCACAUUGGAACUGAGACACGGCCCAAACUCCUACGGGAGGCAGCAGUAGGGAAUCUUCGGCAAUGGGCGAAAGUCUGGCCGAGCAACGCCGCGUGAGUGAAGAAGGUUUUCGGAUCGUAAAACUCUGUUGGUAGGGAAGAACGUUGGUGAGAGUGGAAAGCUCAUCAAGUGACGGAAACUACCCAGAAAGGGACGGCUACCUACUU
rnacentral:rRNA from 1 species